CCCCCCCCUCCUCAUCCAGCAGCUCAAAAUGUCGGCAGUAUGUUCUGGCAUCACCCAAGGCUCUUGAGAAAUGCUGUAGAUCAUGCGCCUCUUUAAAUACCAGUAUUCUGUUAGUUGCAACUUCAUAUAUUUAUCUGUCACUCCAUUUCUGAAGGAAGUCUAGUUGAAUAUUGAUUGGUUCCCAACUUGGAUACCGCCUACUCUGAUCCCUUAUGGGAUCUGCACUUUCCUCAUAAUCUGCUUCAAUGCAUGUUUGUUUGACCUACACUGUUGCCCCUGCCUAGCAGUAGUUCAGAGCUUCCUGCCUUCCUAAUAAAUGGAAUCUUGUGUUGUCUUUGGUUGGCUGGGUUUCUAGGCUUACUUCCUUUAAACGAAGUAGAAUGUUGGGUUUCUCGUAAAGCCAGAGCAUGUGCCAUGGUAAUUGUGUUGAUCUGAAAUGGUAACUUUUGUGUUUAAUGUUCUUUCGAAGGGGUUACUUCUUUCUGUUACUAUUUUGAUUGAAUAUGACCUAAAGUCCUACACUUCUGGAUUAGCAGCUCAUCUACUUGAACUUGUCUAUUUUCAAGUUCGUCACUGUGCUUCAGAAGAUGAACCUAUAGUCAAGUCUUAUUGAUGGAAGGGUCUAGUCAGCACUUCACUGAAAUAUGUUUAAUCUAUUUUACACAUUCACAGUUACAUAUACCUAUCUAAAAUGCAUCAGGGGACUUUUUUUUAAGACGUUGCAUCACAGCACUUGCAAUGCAUUCCGCGGACCCUUUUUGUACUGGAAGUACGUGCUAAAAUCAGCUGUUUUUUUAUUGUAACACUAAUGCAAAUGUUGGCAACAAUGCUCCCUGUACUACUACCAAAGGGUUCCAAGGUUCAGACGUUCCAUCCGCUACAGGCCAUACUAGUGAAUUUUAAGCUGGAUUGCAGCCUUCCCUAGAGAAGCAUGGGGCUCGCUUUGUGAAAAGGGCAUCUCCUUGUUUUACUCUCUUUGGUUGAGGGCAAAGGAUGUUCUAAUUCAAAUAAGUCAUUAGCUGACAUAAAUUUCAACUUUGUGGAUGAUGUUUUAGGUGUGGGGAUUGAGAAGUUUUUUUUUCUUUGCUAGCUUGCUCAGAUGCUUGCAUUUUGGGCAGCAAAUGGAAAGACAAAUAAAAUAGACAGUUUGUUGGAGAUGGUUUGAAUUAUGUAUGGUUGUGGUUUGGUCACUCUUAA